rnacentral:misc_RNA from 1 species
ACCAUUGUAUGUGAGAAUCACGAUUGCUCUUGAUUUCGGAAAUAAAUAUGAUCUUUAAUUUUGCCUGGGUUCUCCAUCUUGCUUCAUGUUUUUGUUGGGGGAAUGGUUGCAUACUCUCUUCAAUUUUAACUUGAGUCUUGUACACAAGUAUGUGUGCAUGCACAUGCUUGUUUCAUCUCAGUGUCUCUCUUUUCUCAUCACUUUCAACCAGGAAUGUCUUCCUACUUCCUACUCUCUCACCUUGUAAUAAAUUUUUCUAUGCCACUGCCAGUUAAUGUCCUAGGGAUUGUGGCAAAAUUCAUGGGCCAAUAAGGGUGAGAUUGGGAAUGGCCUAAGCUUAUCGCUUUGUUGGAAAUUAUUGUUGCAAGGUACUUGGGUAUGAAGUUAGAGUAUGUCAUAUAAAACCUGCAUUGCGUGCAAGAAAACAACUGCUGCUCUUGCAAAUUGAAUAUGUACUUUCUUAUCACGAAGUAACAUCUAAAAGUGGUCCAUGGAGGUUCGUUCUUUUUUUUGCUGUUAUUAUUGUCCCCAGUUUCUCUGUCAUGGUGCCUUGAGCUUGAGUAGAGUUUCUAACAACAAUAACUAAAUUUUAAUUCGAAAUUAGUUGGGGCUGGCUGCAUAAAUAAUUUUUUAUCAUUCCACUCUGUUUGAAAUCAAAUCUUCAUUAAUAUCCAAAAAUUGUAAAUCUAUUAAUGCUUUUUUCUACGUCAUUUUGGAUCUCCCUUUUUUUCUUUCACUUCUUUUUGCAUUAACUUAUCACACUUCCAUACUAGGGCAUUUGAUGCUCUAUAUUGUACUUGACUAAACCAUCUGAAUCGACCUCUCAUUUUGUCCCCAUUGUGUGCUACAUGCACUCUCUAACGGACGUGGUUAUUCUUAAUCUUAUUCAUUAUCGUAUGACCAAACAUCCAUCUUAAAAUUUGUAUUUUUGCCACACUCAUCUUAUGGGUAUGUUGUACCUUAAAUGUUCAACAUUCACUCCUGUACAACAUAGCUGACCUAAUCAAAGUUUUAUAGAACUUAACUUUCACUGUGUUAGGGAUCCUACGGUUGCAUAGCACCCCCAUCGCACUCCAUUUCAUCAUCUUGUUUUGAUCCUGUAAGCAACAUUCUCAUUCAUUACUGUGUUCUUCUAGAUGAUAUAACCUAAAUACUUGAAUUAGUUGCAUUUUGGCACCAAAAAACCAUCCAAUAGAACCUCUUCUCCAUUUCUUUUACGAUAGCUAAACUUACACUGCAUAUGUUUUUUCUGAUUUCUACUUAGCCUAAAACUCUCUCUUAAGAGUCCUCAAACCAAAUUAAAAAAAAAAGAAUGCAAUGAAUAAGUUAAUUUCCUCUAGAUUAUAAAGGAACAUUGGGCUUUUAUCCUUCUGUAAUGCACAAGUGUAAUGCGUAAAAUGUUUUAAGUUACUUUUGAAAUCAUAAUUUAAAUAACUUGCCUCUGUAUGUAGUAAAUAUGAUUGUAUUAUGCAUACUAAAACGUUUGUCCCAAGUGAGAAAUAGAUAUCGGCAUUAUAAAGCUUGUUCAAUGGCUUUGCAGGUCAUAGCCUCAGUUGGAGGUC